AUCUCUUUGGGAUCCUGCUGACCCCAUACCCCAUCUUUUGGGGUUCUUUUGGCCCUGCUGACCCCAUACCCCAUCUUCGGGCUCCUCCUGGCCAUGGUGGCCCCAAUAGGAUCUUUUUGGGCUCCCGCUGACCCCGUUUGCCCCCCCUUUGCCCCCCUUUCCCCCCAGGCUGUCCAACGUGGUUCUUUGGGAUUCUCCUGGCCCUGCUGACCCCAUACCCCAUCUUUUGGGGUUCCCUGGCUCUGCUGACCCCAUAUCCCAUCUUUUGGGAUCCUCCUGCCCAUGUUAACCCCAAUGGGGCAAUUUUGGGAUUCUCCUGGCCCUGCUGACCCCAUCUCCCAUCUUUUGGGCUCCUCCUGGCCAUGGUGGCCCCAAUAGGAUCUUUUUGGGCUCCUCCUGGCCCUGCUGACCCCAUAUCCCAUCUUUUGAGCUCUUUUAGGCCUGCUGACCCCAUAUGCCAUCCUUUGGGAUUCUCCUGGCUCUGCUGACCCCAUACCCCAUCCUUUGGGUUCUUUUGGCCCUGCUGACCCCAUACCCCAUCUUUGGGCUCCUCCUGGCCAUGCUGACCCCAUACCCCAUCUUUUGGGGUUCUCCUGGCCCUGCUGACCCCAUACCCCAUCCUUUGGGAUUCUCUUGGCCAUGGUGGCCCUAAUAGGAUCUUUUUGGGCUCCUCCUGGCCAUGGUGGCCCCAAUAGGAUCUUUUUGGGCUCCUGCUGACCCCUUUGCCCCCCCCUUUGCCCCCCUUUGCCCCCAGGCUGUCCAACGUGGUGGAGACGCCGCGCAUCGUGCGCAAGCUGUCGUGGGUGGAGAACCUUUGGCCGGGGGAAUCGGCGCGCGAGCGGCCGAGCCUGCAGAAGUUCUGCCUGCUGGGGGCCAGGGACAGCUUCACCGACUUCCACAUCGACAGGGGGGGGGCCUCGGCCUGGUGCCACGUCCUCAGGGUACGGGGGGGGCGGUUGUGGGGCUGCGCGGGGCGGUUAUGGGGCUGUGUGGGGUGGUUAUGGGGCUGCGC
rnacentral:lncRNA from 1 species